rnacentral:tRNA from 1 species
GCCUGGGUGGCUCAGUCGAUUGAGCGUCCGACUUCAGCUCGGGUCAUGAUCUCACAGUCUGUGAGUUCGAGCCCCGCGUCAGGCU